AGAGUUUGAUCCUGGCUCAGGACGAACGCUGGCGGCGUGCCUAACACAUGCAAGUCGAACGGAGAUAAAGAUUUCGGUUUUUAUCUUAGUGGCGCACGGGUGAGUAACACGUGAAUAACCUGACCCAAAGAGGGGGAUAACACCUGGAAACAGGUGCUAAUACCGCAUAAGACCACAAUGUCGCAUGACGAAGGGGUCAAAGAAAAUCGCUUUGGGAGGGGUUCGCGUCCCAUUAGGUAGUAGGCGGGGUAACGGCCCACCUAGCCGACGAUGGGUAGCCGAGCUGAGAGGCUGAUCGGCCACACUGGAACUGAGACACGGUCCAGACUCCUACGGGAGGCAGCAGUGGGGAAUAUUGGGCAAUGGGCGCAAGCCUGACCCAGCCAUGCCGCGUGAAGGAAGACGGCCCUAUGGGUUGUAAACUUCUUUUAUCGUGGAGUAAACCCGGUCACGUGUGGCCGGUUGAGAGUACACGAGGAAUAAGUAUCGGCUAACUCCGUGCCAGCAGCCGCGGUAAUACGGAGGAUACGAGCGUUAUCCGGAUUUAUUGGGUUUAAAGGGUGCGCAGGCGGAUCGGUAAGUCAGGGGUGAAAAGUUGGGGCUCAACUCCAAUCGUGCCUUUGAUACUGCCGGACUAGAGUGCGAUAGGCGUGGCUGGAAUGUGAUGUGUAGCGGUGAAAUGCUUAGAUAUGUCACAGAACACCGAUCGAGAAGUCAGGUCACGAGCUCGCAACUGACGCUCAGGCACGAAAGCGUGGGGAUCAAACAGGCUUAGAUACCCUGGUAGUCCACGCUGUAAACGAUGAUCACUCGUUGUUGGGGGGCGACCCUCAGCGGCCAAGCGAAAGCAAUAAGUGAUCCACCUGGGGAGUACGAUCGCAAGGUUGAAACUCAAAGGAAUUGACGGGGGCCCGCACAAGCGGAGGAGCAUGUGGUUUAAUUCGAUGAUACGCGAGGAACCUUACCCGGGCUUGAACGUAAGACGAAUAUGCAGGAGACUGCAUAGCCUACGGGCGUCUUGCGAGGUGCUGCAUGGUUGUCGUCAGCUCGUGCCGUGAGGUGUUAGGUUAAGUCCUGCAACGAGCGCAACCCUUACCUCCAGUUACCAGCACGUCAAGGUGGGGACUCUGGAGGAACUGCCUACGCAAGUAGAGAGGAAGGUGGGGAUGACGUCAAAUCAGCACGGCCCUUAUGUCCGGGGCUACACACGUGCUACAAUGGCGCGCACAGAAGGCAGCGACCCUGCGAGGGGGAGCGAAUCCCGAAAGCGCGUCUCAGUUCGGAUCGGAGUCUGCAACCCGACUCUGUGAAGUUGGAUUCGCUAGUAAUCGCGCAUCAGCCAUGACGCGGUGAAUACGUUCCCGGGCCUUGUACACACCGCCCGUCAAG
rnacentral:rRNA from 1 species